rnacentral:snRNA from 1 species
AUCACUUUUUGGCCUUUUGGCUAACAUCAAGUGAAGCAUCUGUUCUUAUCAGUUUAAUAAAAUAUUUGCUUCAGAAACUGCCACCUCUGAAGAGUCAAGCUGCCAUGAAGCAGGUAAGUGCAUGGAGCCACCAUCAACAGCAAACUCAUUUCUGGAGUGAAAGCUCA